GAGUUUGAUCCUGGCUCAGGAUGAACGCUAGCGGCAGGCUUAAUACAUGCAAGUCGAGGGGCAGCACGGGUAGCAAUACCUGGUGGCGACCGGCAAACGGGUGCGGAACACGUACGCAACUUUCCCAAAACUGGUGAAUAGCCUUCCGAAAGGGAGAUUAAUACACCGUAAGAUGUAGGAGUGGCAUCACUUUUAUAUUAUAGCUCCGGCGGUUUUGGAUGGGCGUGCGGCUGAUUAGGUAGUUGGCGGGGUAACGGCCCACCAAGCCUGCGAUCAGUAACUGGUGUGAGAGCACGACCAGUCACACGGGCACUGAGACACGGGCCCGACUCCUACGGGAGGCAGNAGUAAGGAAUAUUGGUCAAUGGACGCAAGUCUGAACCAGCCAUGCCGCGUGCAGGAUGACGGGCCUCUGGGGUUGUAAACUGCU
rnacentral:rRNA from 1 species